GAUGAAGAACGUAGCGAAAUGCGAUAAGUAAUGUGAAUUGCAGAAUUCAGUGAAUCAUCGAAUCUUUGAACGCACAUUGCGCCCUUUGGUAUUCCGAAGGGCAUGCCUGUUCGAGCGUCAUUUCACCACUCAAGCCUGGCUUGGUAUUGGGCGCCGCGGUCGAUCCGCGCGCCUCAAAGUCUCCGGCUGAGCUGUCCGUCUCUAAGCGUUGUGAUUUCAUUAAUCGCUUCGGAGUGCGGGCGGCCGCGGCCGUUAAAUCUUUCACAAGGUUGACCUCGGAUCGGGUAGGGAUACCCGCUGAACUUAAGCAUAUCAAUAAGCGGAGGA
rnacentral:misc_RNA from 1 species